CCUACGGGAGGCAGCAGUGAGGAAUAUUGGUCAAUGGGCGCGAGCCUGAACCAGCCAAGUCGCGUGAGGGAAGACGGUCCUAUGGAUUGUAAACCUCUUCUGCCGGGGAGCAAAAGACGCCACGCGUGGCGUUCCGAGAGUACCCUAAGAAAAAGCAUCGGCUAACUCCGUGCCAGCAGCCGCGGUAAUACGGGGGAUGAGAGCGUUAUCCGGAUUUCUUGGGUUAAAAGGGUGCGCAGGGGGAAGAUCAAGUCAACGUGAAAAUUGAGAGGCUCAACCUCUUCGAGCCGUUGAAACUGGUUUUCUGGAGUGAGUGAGAGGUAUGCGGAAUGCGUGGUGUAGCGGUGAAAUGCGUAGAUAUCACGCAGAACUCCGGUUGCGAAGGCAGCAUACCGGCGCUCAACUGACGCUCAUGCACGAAAGUGUGGGUAUCGAACAGGAUUAGAUACCCGAGUAGUC
rnacentral:rRNA from 1 species